rnacentral:sRNA from 1 species
UGGUACUAGAAUAACGGGUGCUGCCCAU